rnacentral:sRNA from 1 species
UCCAGUGUCCCACUCUGUCACUGCCUGUCAUAGUUAUUUGAGACUGAGACUGGAGCUAUGCUGGCAUCUUCCUGUCUUUAUUCCAAUAUUGUUCUAGUUACAGGUAGAGAAAGUCACACCCAGCUUUUUACCUCCAUGGUGGGAUCCAACCUCAAACCUCCAUGAUUGCUGGAGCAAUCCCAUCACCCCCCAUGAACCAUGUGACCAUGCUCACCUGAACUUCAUGCCCAGAGGACAAUCUACUCACCCAUCAGGAACCAGACUGCUGAUGGCAUUUGUUCCGAUGAUCCUACCCCCAACUCUUACACAUGACUCCCAGAGCGCUGCCUGAUGUUUGAUUGUGGGUCUCUGCAUC